rnacentral:rRNA from 1 species
GAUGAACGCUAGCUACAGGCUUAACACAUGCAAGUCGAGGGGCAGCAGAUUGAAAGCUUGCUUUGGAUGAUGGCGACCGGCGCACGGGUGAGUAACGCGUAUCCAACCUUCCCUAUAGUAGAGAAUAGCCCGGCGAAAGUCGGAUUAAUGCUCUAUGUUGUAUUUAGAAGACAUCUGAAGAAUACCAAAGGUUUACCGCUAUAGGAUGGGGAUGCGUCUGAUUAGGUAGUAGGCGGGGUAACGGCCCACCUAGCCGACGAUCAGUAGGGGUUCUGAGAGGAAGGUCCCCCACAUUGGAACUGAGACACGGUCCAAACUCCUACGGGAGGCAGCAGUGAGGAAUAUUGGUCAAUGGACGGAAGUCUGAACCAGCCAAGUAGCGUGCAGGAUGACGGCCCUAUGGGUUGUAAACUGCUUUUUAUAUAGGGAUAAAGUCGGGGACGUGUCCCCGUUGUAGUAC